UUCACCAACGAUGCACACACACGGCCCUAGGUCCCGGAAUUGGGGGUUACUGCCAUAAAGUACAGGGGUGCGCUGAUGGUCUGGGGGAGGGGAGGGUCACUCGCAUGACAUCGGUAUACCUAGGCGGUCACCUCUCAGGAGCCAGAGGCAUUCCAAGGUCCAGUGGAGGUUUGAGGCAGGGAUGACUCCACGAAGCAUCCCCCUCCCCUGCCCACACAGAGGUCUCCGCCUACCUACCCUUCAUCAAUUUCAACAACGCACUUUGGAGACGCGAAUGCCUGCAGUUCAGCUGGGCGGUAAAAGGGGUCACCCCUCCCCUCUUCCCCCCAGUCUCCAGGCUGACCUCGCUCCCACCCCGUCCUUCCCGUGGAAGACCCAAAGGAUGCCGCCUCCAGUCCUGGAAUUUAAGGCUUAAGAACUAGCCGCGUGCAAGUCGAGGGGCGCAGCCGAGAGUCCCCGGGUUAGUCCUCAAGCUUCACUCCUCCACCAGUCCGCGGGUGAGUCAUCCCUGCCCCGCGGCUGGAGCUGUGACCGAAGCUGAGAGCACCGAGGAAUCAAGCCCUCCAAGGCACCUGUGGCCUGGUGUCUGGCGGAAGCUAGGACAUGCCACAACUUGGCUCUACUGCUCUCCAGUGAGGAUUUCCAUGUUUUGUCUUUCAAGUAAGGCUGGGACCUGCCUGUGUCCUUUGGAAGCCCAAGAACCGGGUCUCCAAGUUCCUUUGACUGGAAGGCAUAUUAUGAAAUGGGAUGUACCCCCUCAGAGAAGCAGCUGUGAGGACGUGCGGCGGCCCAAGACCGCUUGUGUUUGGCCAUCGAGGACCCACACGUGUGGCAGCACACUCCGGUGACCUUAGUCCUGUGGGGAGAAGAGACCUGGAACCACUCAGAAACUCCAUUGCAAGAAAACCAGGGUCUGGAGCCAGGGCUGGAAGCUGUGUUUCCAACAAGUUUCCUGGGUGGGCCACUGGCCUUCCCUCACCCACACAUCACACUCGGAGUCACGAGCACUAGAAGAAAUCUGGGUAAACUAUGUCAUGGAGCAAUCCUGGGCUUUGUCAAGCUGGAAGAUUAGUUAUUUUAUUAAGCCGACCCAUCCUCAUGUACUGACACGUUCUCUGGUCUGGGUGCCAUGCCAGGCAUCGGGCAUGAAACGGUGGACCAAGCAGCCCCGAGGCUGCAUUGACGGAGCUUGGAGUCCAGUGAACAUGACAGGCCCUGGUCACACCACUACGUGUGAAGGUGCAGCACCGCGGCUGCUGUGGGCCUCACGCAGAGGAGGCACGGGGCCACCGGUUCUGAAAGCGGGUUGCCUCCGCUGGAUGGUCCGAAGAGUCCUCCCUGAGGAAGAGAUGUUGAGCUGAGAUAUGAAGUCAGUAACAGCAGCCCCUAUUAUUAUAAUAGCACCAACCACCCAACCAUUACCUGAGGACUUACUUUGGGUUCACAGAGUAAUCAUAUAUUUCUGUGUAUUUUCUAAUUUUCAUAACACUCUCCUAGGGCAAGCAUUAUAACUGUGCAAGUUUGAUAUUUGGAACAGACAGCUUCCAGGCUUCUAAACUUCUAAACCAGGCACAGACAUGGAGGAAGGGAUAUUUAUAGACAUUUACAGGUCCAGGGGAAGCUCCACAAUGGCAGAAGAAGCUGGCCCACCUUCGCAGGCCCGAGCGGAGAGAAGCCAACACCGCCAGCAGCGCACGCAGGCGCGCUUCACGACUGCAGGCAGAGGGCGGGCCCUCCGCGCCUCUAGAUCGGAGUUCCAGAUCCGCCCACACCGUAGGGCUGGGCCAGUGAUC